rfam:Vitis vinifera, whole genome shotgun sequence of line PN40024, unoriented chromosome 12, chr12
GGAUGAAUAUGAUGAAAGUUAUGAUGCAUGGUGAUCGCCUCGAUGUGAUGAAGAUGUUUUCGCUACGUUCUUUCUGAUUCAUAU